rnacentral:rRNA from 1 species
AGAGGGUGCAAGCGUUAAUCGGACUUACUGGGCGUAAAGGGCGCGUAGGUGGUAAUUUAAGUGAGAUGUGAAAUCCCUGGGCUUAACCUAGGAAUAGCAUCUGAUACUGGAUAACUAGAGUGCAGUAGAGGGGAGUAGAAUUUCCGGUGUAGCGGUGAAAUGCGUAGAUAUCGGAAGGAAUACCAGUGGCGAAGGCGACUCUCUGGGCUGUAACUGACACUGAUGCGCGAAAGCGUGGGGUAGCGAACAGGAUUAGAUACCCUGGUAGUCCACGCCGUAAACGAUGAGUACUAGACGUUGGCUGGUUUAUACUGGUCAGUGUCGAAGCAAACGCGAUAAGUACUCCGCCUGGGAUUACGGUCGCAAGAUUA